UUUGGGGUUACUUGAGGUCAUUUGGGUCUGAAAAAUUGAAUUUUGGGGUCAAUGAGUUCAUUUUGGGGUUACUUGAGGUCAUUUGGGUCUCUGAUAAUUGGACCAGGGGUCAAUGAGUUCAUUUUGGGGUUACUUGAGGUCAUUUUAGUCUGAAAAAUCGAAUUUUGGGGUCAAAUGAGUUCAUUUUGGGGUUACUUGAGGUCAUUUGGGUCUGAAAACUUGAAUUUUGGGGUCAAAUGAGUUCACUUUGGGGUUACUUGAGGUCAUUUGGGUCUCUGAUAAUUGGACCAGGGGUCAAUGAGUUCAUUUUGGGGUUACUUGAGGUCAUUUGGGCCUGAAAAAUUGUAUUUUGGGGUCAAAUGAGGUCACAGAGGGGUUACUUGAGGUCAUUUGGGUCUCUGAUAAUUGGACCAGGGGUCAAUGAGUUCAUUUUGGGGUUACUUGAGGUCAUUUCAGUCUGAAAAAUUGGAUUUUGGGGUCAAAUGAGUUCAUUUUGGGGUUACUUGAGGUCAUUUGGGUCUCUGAUAAUUGGACCAGGGGUCAAUGAGUUCAUUUUGGGGUUACUUGAGGUCAUUUCAGUCUGAAAACUUGAAUUUUGGGGUCAAAUGAGUUCAUUUUGGGGUUACUUGAGGUCAUUUGGGUCUCUGAUAAUUGGACCAGGGGUCAAUGAGUUCAUUUUGGGGUUACUUGAGGUCAUUUCAGUCUGAAAAAUCGAAUUUUGG